rnacentral:rRNA from 1 species
UGAAGUGCUUUCGAGAUUAGAUGGGUGGUGGUGCAUGGCCGUUCUUAGUUGGUGGAGUGAUUUGUCUGGUUAAUUCCGAUAACGAACGAGACUUUAUCCUGCUAAAUAGUAAUCAUCUAAUUUCUGGGUGAUUUACUUCUUAGAGGGACAAACGGUUUCCAGCCGUAUGAAAGAAAGCAAUAACAGGUCUGUGAUGCCCA